CCAUAACAGCACAUGGAACUUAGUGGCUGGAAUAUUAAUACUAGCUAAAAAAACAUAUCUAGUUACUUUUGCUUAAAAUGGAAGAUAAAUGAUUCUCUUCCACGAACACUAAAUAGGAAAUACUAGGUAAUAUUUUCCCAUACCCCAGUAAUAAGAUAUAUAAUAGGAUUUGGUAAAUAGAAAAUUUUCUUUUGGUAUGACUGUAACUAGCCAAACUAAAUCACAGAGCUGCCAGUCAACACAGAAAUCAGUUUAUGUGAGGAAAAAACACUUCCAAUAAUCAUGGCCUUGGUUUUUUCUUUUUUCUUUGGUUUGCUUUUUCUUAAGAACUGGAAGUGCCGAGCAUUUGUUUACCAGCAGGCUUGAUAUUGACAAUAUAUUGACAUAAUAUUCUGGAGUGUUUAAUUGCCAAAAUGUUUUUAAAUGUGGCUGAGGUCAAAGUUGUUACAAAGUGAUCAUUAUUUAGUGAGUGUGGCUAGGGUAGUUGGGGUUCUACAUGUCCAUCCUGAACUGAUGGAUGUCCACGCCAGGGGAAACCAGGCUGCUGUAGGUUUCCUUGUUAUUCAUCUAAACAUGCCCAAGAAGAAAGGCCCAGUGAGACUGACGUUUCAGCAGAAAGAUGCUCUUGUUAACAAAUAGUAAUCAAUUGUCCUAUGGACUGUGAGGUAAGAGAAAAAUGAGUAGGUCUGAUAUCUAGAAAGUAUGUUGGCUUUGCAGUCAGACAGCUAGGCUCAAAUCCUAACUCCACCGUUACCGGUAUGUGAGCCUGGACAAACUCCCUAAGCUUGCUUUCUUUAGCGUCAGUUUUCUUAUCUGCAAAAUAGGGAUAUUAUCUUCCUCACUGAGUUUUUAAAAAUAAGAUUUAAAUAAAAUAGACUAUGUCAACUACCUGACUUAAAAUAUGUGCUUAACAAAUAUCAGCAUCCGUUCCACAGUCACACCUGCUCAUAUUCCGUCCUGUCAUCCUCCACAGUUCGCAUUACAGUGAGAAGGAUAAGGCUGAUGCCCAGUGCCACGCAGGGGGAUGUGACUGGUGUCAUGUGCACCCAGUGCUCUGAAAAAGGAGAGGUUGUUCCAGCCUGGUGAGAAGAUGUCUCAGUGUCUUCCCAAUCCUGAUUUUGUUAUAUCUUCACCACAUAAAUUAUCCAAACACGAAGACUGAAAUGCGUUGCUAAGCUCUUUAUCAGAUUUGGGGAAAUCACAACAAUUGUAAAGGCAGUUUGAGCUGCUGCAGAACGUUCAUUGUGAAAUCUCUUAAAGAGACGUUGCACAGACGCAAAGAGAGGCUCAACAACUAAAGAAGCAUGCGAUCUGCCCAGGAGGGCGCGAAGACCACGCCGCCUGGGACAUGAAUUAGAGAAAAUAAGAAUGGGAGUCCUGAGGUUCACAGGAACCACGGGUUUCUGGAUGGAUUGUCAGAAGCGUAAAUGUGGUCUGAAGAUGUCCAAUCUAUUUCUGGUGUGAGCUGUCACACUGCAAAUUCACCAAAGGGUGUAGGAAUGAUUUCACACAACAGUUCACUCGGUGAUUUACGUGAGUGAGGCCGUGGGAUCAUAUGACGUUGGUGAGCCAAUAGACAACAGCCCUGCUUUCCUCUGACAAUCAACCAACACUGCGAGAUGACAGCAGCCAAUAUGACUGAGAACGGCGAAGGCAUAAUAACAUUUACAUUGAUGUUUUCAGCCGCAAUUGCUACAUACUUUUUCUCUGCUGUUGCGAAGAUGCGAUAUGUUCAUUGUACAAUAAAUCCCCCCAGCCUUCAUUCUUUAAGGCUUUCUAACCCAAAUUUGAUAAUUUCACAGCAGCGUUGUGGUUUGCUAUUACUCGAAAAAUGGAAUCAAUAUCUAUCUCAUAUAUAUGGUUUUUCAGGGAUCAUUGUUUCUAUUUCUUGAAUGCCAGUACCAUUUAAUCAAAAGGCGAAGUUCAAGAAAAGGCAAGAUUAUAUUGUCCUGAAUGUUAAACAAUAUUCUGCAUGCAUUAGACAUUGAUAAAUUUUCAAGGAACAUCUAGUGGCUAAUCCCUGUUCCUUUAAGAUAAAAGAUUCAGCAGUUACACACACCCAACUCUUAUAUCCGGACCAGAAAAAGACGAUAAUUUCGCAAGAUUGAAUCAGCUCUUUAGACACACACUACCAUGUUCUUGAGGGAGAAAGAGAAAAUAAAGGUUAAAAUGAAAAGAACGAAUUACAGUCUAAUUUUUGUUUAUCUUUAACACUUAUAAAGAUGUAACUCUUUCUUAGACCUUGGUGUAUUUUUUAAAUAAAGCUGUCAAAAACAACCCUCACAACCCAAAAAUGACAACCGCGGAAUUUUAAAGGCUGAUUGGUUAUAGUGCGGAGAAAGUAAUAGAAACAGCUAUCCAUGAUGCACACAGAGGACCGGCUUGCUAAGAUUCCUCUCCAGGGAUGGAUAAAGUUUGUCUGCCUUUUCUUACUCCUCAUUUGGACAGCAAGUCUGGGGGAGACGAUGUGGUGUAACAGAACUGUCAUUAUAGCCCAAAGCAGGGCACCCAGCUUUAAUCUCGGCCGAUUGAUAACUAUCUUUCUUCCUUGAAAGCAUUGCUCCACUUUUCGGACCCCAUGUCUUUAUCUGUAAAUGAGCAAUUCUAGGAAAAUUCCAGGAAUCUCGCCACUAACACCUAUAGGGAAAGUGGUCUUCUCUUUCAAGCUGGAGGAAAUUUGAGAGAGCAGAUAGCCACCGAGUGUAGAAGAUCUGAGUUCUUUCUAGUGCAGAGUAGAAAAGAAACAGGAAAGGAUGCUGGUGUUCAAGGGCUUUCAACUGUGAGAAGGGUGUGGACCACGCAGCCCUCCAGGGAGGCAAGAGAAGACUCAGCAUUGUCUGAAAAUUAUGACUGCUGGAUCCAGAGAGUGGGACUGUCUGUCGCACUCAUCCUGUAUUCCCAGAGCCUCACACGGUGCCUGGCACGCAGUAGGCGUCUGACACAGAUUUACUGGAAAGCGAAUAAAUGUUAAGCCUCAGGGUACCUUCCAUUUGCAUUCUAAGAUAUGUUCACUUUUAUACCUAACUCAGUAUUUGCAGUUUUAUGUUCUUUCUCAUAAGAUGGUCUCCCAAAUCCUAUAAACUUCAGGCCCCACAAACCUCUAUCUGCCUCUUAUAGACAUGCAAUAAAUGUUUGUUUACCUAACGAGAAAAAAAGAAAGGUGCGAGGGUAAGGAAGGGGAGGAAGAAAACCCAAACCUCCCCGAAACAGUGGCAACUAGGAGGAUCAAAUUCAACCUCGAUGAGUCAGAGGCAGCAUUCCCAAACUGUUGCCAGACAGUAACAGGCAAUGAUUUACCUCAAUUAAUUCAGCCAGUUAAAAGCUUAGUUCUUAAUUGCCAACAGGAGGCUGAAAGGCAAAUGUGUUAGACUGUCUUCCUAUUCCGAGCGAUUGCAGUAGGGGCUGAAGCAUCUCUGGAGUGAGGGGAGGUGAGUAUGGAGGGGCUUUGCGUCUGGCACCAUGCUAGGUGCUUUCACAUACCUUUGUUAUUGUUAGUGCUGUGGGAUUGGUUCUGGCUCCCAGCAACCCUGUGGACAGCAGAGCGGAACCCUGCCUGGUCUUUUUGUGCCGUCCGCUCACCUUCUGGUGCUGUAUCAGACAAUGCUCCGCUGCUGUUCACAGGGGUUUCAUGGCCAAUUUUUUCACCACUGUUUUUGGAAAUGGAUGGCCAGGUCCUUCUUCCUAUUCUGUCUAGUCUGGAAGCUCCUGUCCACCGUGGGUGACCCUGCUGGGAUUUGGAAUACCGGUGACAUAACUUUCAGCAUCACAGCACCACACAGCCACCACAGUGUGACAACUGACACACAGGUGGUAUAGUUCCUGGACUGGGAAACGAACCCAGACUGUAGUGGUGAGAGCGUCGGAUCUUAAAACUAGACCACCAGGGCUGGCUCUCAUCCCUUACCUUAGCAAAUUUAUUGUUCUCAUUUCAUAGAUGAGGAAACUGAAGUUCAGAGAGGUGAAAUAAUUUUCCUUAAAGUCAUGCAACUAGUUAAGUGGUCAAGUUGGGAUUUGAACCUUGAUCUGUUGAGACUAAAAUCUUAUAUAUGUUCUUCACUACUCCAUGUUAUUCCACAGUGAGAAAAUAGAGGGUCCUUUUAGUGGGUUGUAAAAAUCUAAAUAAGAAAUAAAGGCACAAAGGAGAACAGUAGAGAACUGAUGUGAACAGGAUUAAUGGAUGUUGAUAUCGAUUUAUUACCUGAUUACUUUAUGACCUGUGGCAUCUUUGUUCUGCUGCUUACUGGGACAAGACCCAUAUAAUUCAGUGUAGACUGGGAAGAAUCUGUGCAUUGGGGACAUAGGAACUUCAGGAAUCAGUGAAUUUAGAGGAGUGAUUUGAAACAGAGGCUGUAGAUGGUUCAAAGACCAAAUCUGAGGAAAUUUCUAAUCAGAGGAAUCAAAAAAGAUGCUGAGACCGAGGGGAUAAACAAGAACCUUUCUGUGGAUUAAAUUUCUUUAUAGUUCUGCAGAACUCUUGGUUAUUCAUUCCUGGAGUGGGCUGCCCUCCGAGAAGUCAGUGUUUUGGGCACUGCAAUGCGUGUAAAGCUGUGUUAGUUUAUGGAUCAUCCAAAAGAAACACACGCCUUAAUCCCUGCUCUUGAGACCUCACAGGACAGUUGGGGGUCAAGAUACAGCCCCAGAACACAGGUGAUAGAAUCAUCUGCCAUGAUAGAGGGUAAAUUAUGAGAAAAGGGUAGGAAAUAAGGCAAAAAUAUUAUACACGACUAAUUUUGUGGAUUUCCUGACAUUUUUUAGAGCCUCACAGUUUAGAAUAUGGUUUUAUGUGCACCCUCAAGACAAUCUUGUGACAUAGGCAGGGAAGGUAUUAUUAUUCUCGUUAUGUAGAGGAGUAAGGAAAGGAAGGCUCAGAAAGGUGAAGUGAAUUGCCUAAGGCCACUCAGCUGGUGAGCGGUAGAGCUGGGAGUCAAGCUUAUUUCCUUGGAUUCCCAGGCCAGUGCUCUUUUUGUCAGACAGUAAUCCUUUACAGUCAUAUUUACUGGGCGCCAUCUUCAUUACCCAAUGCAUUUUAAACAAAGUGGCAAAUUUUCUAUUCACUGAAUUGGCACCUAGUGCACUACUUUGACUCAAUAUUUAAAAAUGUGAGAGUAGAAGUCUAGGAAUUUGGAACUGGGCUAAAAAUAUAUUUGGACACAUCCUAGGAGUUGACAACUGGUGUGCUGGUAAAAUGGCGGAUGGGCGGGUGGGGAGUCUGCUUUGUAGCAUUUGCUGAUUUCCAUAGUGUAAAUACGCCACCACAGCCGAUUUUAAACUACCAACAGUUUAAGGACUAGUUUAGGAAAAUCUUGAAUAUCUAACAAAGCGCUCUUAGUUGGUAAGAAGCUAGCACAUUGCUGGCAGUUGUCUCCUCAGUCUUUUUCACUCUUAUUUUUCGUGCUCAGAAGCAUCUUGAGAGAAAAUUUUGGACCGAACUUGAAAAUCUUGAGUCUUGUGCUGGGGUUCUGCCUUCCUCUCUUUACUUGUGCCCGUCCAUUAGAAUAUGAAUUCCGAUUCUGUAUCUCAUUGAUUUUUUAAAAGUAGCUUGACUUUAUCUGUCUGACAUUCACAAGCUGACUAUGUUAUUGAUAAUUACUUCCCCUUUUUAAUUCUUAAAGAGCAAUGUAUAUCCUGGUGGAUCUGAAAAUCAGACUUCCAGGGCCGAUAAGAAAGACCUGCUUUCAUUUAAAUAUUCUUCCUUCCCUGAUGGUCUGCAACAUUCCUAUAUGAAACUAAUCUAUUUAAGAUCUCCACCUUUGCUGAAUUUAGUGCAGUUCAAUGUUAAUGAACGUCUAAUUCUGAGUUUCUGACGUUUUGCUAUUCCUUCUCUUCCUGGCACUCCUUUACCAUGACUGAGUCAAAAGAUCUGCUCUAUUCACGUUGCUCUGAAAAUCUGAGGAGCAAGGUAUCCAUUCAGUUUUAUUUCUCCCUGGUGGGUGCAGUUCUCAUCGGAUACUAAUGAGAAUUACAAAUGUGGGUAAAGGAGAAACCAGUGCCUUCAGAAUUGAGGGGCUGGUUAUUUAAAGAUGUAUUGCCAUGGCACUUAAGGAAAAUGAUUUAUCUGUUUUGUUUUGUCCUCCUAUAAAUCAAGAAUACAGCACAGCGUUAAACAUUCCUCAAUAUUUAUGCUAAUAUAUAUUUGGGUUUACAUACUUGACACUAAUUCAGGAGGAACAGUGGUAUUAGAGUAAUGGCUACCUGUGACAGCCUCGGCGGUACUGAACAGCCGCCUUAACUCUUUAUUAGACUGUGGGUGCCCCUGCGCAGAGCAGACACGGCAAUGAUUCCCUGCCAGGAGCAGACUCCCCGGUAGGUGCAUUCCGGUGAUUUCUCUUCCUUUGUUUGGUUUAGUUUGGGGCAUUAGGUUAGCAACUGUAUUUAUAAAUUUCUUACUAAGGAAUCACCUGACCAGAGAGAAGAGACACUGGACGCACUCUGUGGGAAAUUGGAACCCAGAAAGUUUGACUGUAUCUGCCAGUCUCGGAAUAAUCCACAGAUCCAGUGAGCAAACAAAUAAAAUACAAACGUUUGUAAAGGACAGACUUUAUGUCCACUAAGUAAAUUUCCUCCUUUUCUGCCACUGUCUCGGCAUCACCAGAUGCGACCCUCUCAAAUUCCUCAGCCUCGUUGUGCUUCAAUUUCCUAGUAAAAUGGGGAUAAUAAUAGCACUUGCCUCAUAGGAUUACUUUGAGAGAGAGACAACACAUGGACACAGUGCCUGUGUAUGCAUGCGGCAGGUGGGCUCAAUACACGUUCUGCGGCCUGGCGUUUACCGCGCACAGCUGGAAUCCUGAUUCUAUCUUUGCCCUCUCCAUCCUACUGGAGUGUUUGUGAAAGUCCAUUGGGCCCUGCCAAUCACAGGCAGUUUUCUGAGAUGUUUUGUUAGGGCUUCUCCUGGCUAGUCUGCAGUAGAAACUCAGAGACUUGCUGGAGUUCAUUGCAUUGUGAGGGCUCUCAGUGCCUCACUGAACUAUAUGAAUUGGGCCAAUCUCUGAUUAGCUGCCUGGGUGACCUUUGCGGGCAGAACCCUGCAACUUUACUUUCCAUAUUCCUCAGUGUCUGAGUGCGUUUUUGAUGUUGCCUAUCUGCACCCAUGCACACAUUUAAUUUGGUAAUAGGUUUCCUUUGGAAGAUAUAGCUGGUGUAGACUGACUACCAUAUCUCCCAGGAAAAUUUGGGACUUCUUUGAUUACUUUCGAUGCAAAGUACAAUGAGAAUUCAAGCCCUUAUUAUUAUUCUUGCUAACCAAGAGACAUGCCAGGUUUAAAGUCAGAUUUGUUUCUGUGUUAAUAAUCCAUUUGUAUUACCCUUCCUUGCAGUCCCUGUCUCUACUCCUGCUAUCUUCAAUGUGAGUUUGCACUUGUCAAAAUGAAUAAUAUGCAGCAUCAAUUCAAACUCCACUUUUCCAGUGUGUUCAGCUGUUAUAGUUUCACUUUGCCUUGAUUCUGUUGAUUGCUAUUAAAUCCCGGAUUGCUUUAAAUUCUGUGAGAUAGUCCUCAAAGCAUCACUUAUAAAUUGUGUGCAUUUAUUAGAAUCUUACUUAGAACAAAGAAUAUUCAAGCCCCUGGAAAAGUCUGCCUUCUACUUCUGCUCUCUAGACAGAAGAGGUUAUAGCAGCAUAUUUUGUCUUUUGAGAAAAAUUAAUUGUUUAAAAAGUAAAUAUAAUAAAUUAUUGUGGGAGGGGGUUUGGUUUUAUUCUUUUCUUUCCUUUUUUAUUUGGUAAAGAAAAAAAAUAAUCCAAACCCAACACACUUUAGUGAAGAGUGUGGAUUGAGACCAAGAUUUAUAAUAAAUUCCUUUGUGUCCAUCUGUACAAUAUUGAUGUAAAUGAAGUGGUAGUUGAAUUUAUUAUGAGGGCAUUGUUCGUAUGCAAUUUAUCUGGAUUUCAAAAGCCAACCUCUAGCUCUUUUAUUUUUAGAAGUAUGUUAUUAUAGACUACAUUUUAAGAAAUCCUGUCAGAGUAUUGCAAAUAUUGUCUAUUUUUCUAUUUUAAAAAAUUGGAACUGCUUCAAAUAAAAACCCAUCUAAAGUGUAGUUAAGUCAAGUUGCGUACGGUGAAUAAAGUGUACUGGUUGUCAAGCAUUGGUUGAGCACACCCUGCAAGCGCAGCCGUGCCCUGGAUGCUGGGCAUAGGAGUCCUAGGAGGCACUGCCCCAGAAGAGCUUAUGGGGAGGGG
ensembl:lncRNA